UGGUGUUUAGCUCAGUUGGUAGAGCAGCUGCCUGGUGAGUUGAGGCCACAGUCCUCAUUGCAGGUGGCCCUGGUUCAAAUCCUGCAUUGAG